rnacentral:rRNA from 1 species
AGUGAACGCUGGCGGUAGGCCUAACACAUGCAAGUCGAACGGCAGCACAGGAGAGCUUGCUCUCUGGGUGGCGAGUGGCGGACGGGUGAGGAAUACAUCGGAAUCUACUUUUUCGUGGGGGAUAACGUAGGAAAACUUACGCUAAUACCGCAUACGACCUACGGGUGAAAGCAGGGGAUCUUCGGACCUUGCGCGAUUGAAUGAGCAGAUGUCGGAUUAGCUAGUUGGCGGGGUAAAGGCCCACCAAGGCGACGAUCCGUAGCUGGUCUGAGAGGAUGAUCAGCCACACUGGAACUGAGACACGGUCCAGACUCCUACGGGAGGCAGCAGUGGGGAAUAUUGGACAAUGGGCGCAAGCCUGAUCCAGCCAUACCGCGUGGGUGAAGAAGGCCUUCGGGUUGUAAAGCCCUUUUGUUGGGAAAGAGAUCCAGCUGGUUAAUACCCGGUUGGGAUGACGGUACCCAAAGAAUAAGCACCGGCUAACUUCGUGCCAGCCGCCGCGGUAA